GAGGUGAGGCCUGGUAGGAGGUGAUUAGAUCAUGGAGGUAGAGUUCUCAUGAAUGGUUUAGCCCCAUGCCCACCUGGUACUUUAUAGUGAAUGAGUUCUUAAGAGAUCUGGUUGUUUAAAGUAUGCGGCACCUCCCCUCUCUCUCUCACUCCUGCUCCUGCCAUGUAAGACACCUGCUCUCGCUUUGCCUUCCACUAUGAGUAAAAGCUCCCUGAGGCCUCUCCAGAAGCAGACGCUGCCAUGCUUUCUGUAUAGCAUGCAGAACCAUGAGCCAAUUAAACCUCUUUUCUUUCCAAAUUACCCAGUCUCUGGUAUUUCUUUAUAGCAGUGGGAGAACAGACUAAUGUACCAACUCCAGGUAAUCAUGUGACAAUAUUACUUGUAUGUCCUUUAUCAAAGAACAUAUUCUGCCUCUUUUUGAUCUAAUAAGGAAUUUCUAAAAAGGAGUGAACAAUCAAAACUUUUGUAUGAUCAUAGAAUGCAAUUACAAAAGAAAACAUAAUUUAGACACAACUCUCACCUUAUUCAUUAUUCAUUCAUUCAUUUAUUCAUUCAAAAGUUACAAGUCACUUGCAAUGUUCCAGGGUCCAUGGUAGGCAUCGAAGGCAUUAACAACUGAUUUUUAUUCGUGCUUAGUAUGUGCCAGGCAAUUUUUAUGUGUUUAAUCUCGACACCUACCUUGUGAGGUAAGUACUAUUAGUUUCUGCAUUUUACAGUUGAGGAAACUAAGGCAAGAGGUUAAGACAUACACCAAAUAUCUCAAAGCUGGUAAGGGAUCCACUGGAAGUUUGCACCUAAGAAGUCUGGCUUGUGCUCCAAACCACUGGGAUACGCCCUGGAUAAGCUUUAUCUCCCAAAGAGGAAGAGAAUUGCUAAGUUUAUAUGUUGCAUGAGUGAGUGAGUGAGAUUAAGUGUUCAAAUUCACUAUGCUCAUAAACUUCGGCUCUAUUGAAAUGGCUUAGGCUCAACUGGAUAAGGAGGAAUACAGGUUACUCAGCCUGUGCAGACAAUGUACUAAAUUCAACAGCUUGCAAUAGUUUAUAACCCAAGCACAGUAAAAUUCCUACUAUUGUAUAUUGCUUCAUAAAGAUUCCCUAGAAAUAUCUGAAGAUGUGUUGUCUUGUUAGAAAUUAUAAAAAUCCAUGUGGUCUGCCAUGCACCAACAGAGUAUGAAUUUAGGGUUUUUUGUUGGUUAGUUGGUGAUAGGUUGAUGGGGCUUGAAAACCACCAGUAGUCAAUGUACAAUAUAACUUUUAAAAUGAAUUUUUUGCUAUGAUUUAUUCACUUCCAUUUCCAGAUCAUUUACUUCAACAAGAAUUUCAGUUAAGUUCAAUUUAACUCAACAGUGAAUGGUGCAUGUUCAGUGUUAAGAAUUGUGCCAUAUGAGGGAGAUACAAAGAUGAAUAAGGCAUAGUUUUUGUCCCCCAGAAGCUUCAAACCUGGGGAAGCAAAUUUAUUGAUUGAUUCAUUUAACAAUAUUUAUUUAAUGUUUUAUUAUGUACCUAGUAUUACACAAGGUGCUCAAGCACAAUGGCAAACCAAAGAGACAAAAUGUUUUCUUAAAAUAAACUGGUUUACCACAAAUUAAUAAUUUUCUUCUAUAGGUUGAUUUUUCAGUUGUAGUACACCUUGAAUUUUACAUUUUUUUUUUCUUUCACUUACACAGGCAAAGCAAAUUGAAGAAUUGGAGCACUGAGCUCAAAGAGGGAAAAAGAGAGAACACUGGGAAGAGAGCAGGAUGCUUCCUCCUUUGAGCCAAGAACAGAUGAAAAAUGGAUGAAGUUAUAAAUAAUGAAAAGAUGUAACAUAUAGAAGAUAAUUAAUAAAUCAAUCAAAAUAAAAAUCAAAGGUUACAGAAAAAUAUGAAGUGAAUAUAAUGAAAAGAAACACGUUCAUGUAUAUUCAUUGCAGCACUAUUUGUUAUAGUGAAAAUUGUAAACAAGCAAAAUAUGUACCAAUACAUGUGGUAAGAUUGCUAGAUACCCAGUCAAUCUGCAUUCUCCCCUUCCUCCUUACUAAAAGAACCUGAUUGUUGUUGGUAUCAAUAUAUCUGACUACAGUAUUAAAUUUCCCUUAAUUCCUGACAGAAAGGAAUGGCUAUGUGUUAAGAUAUGACCAAUGAGAUAUAAGCAGGAAUUGUUAGGUAGGACUUGUACAAAAGGGUUUUAAAAGGGGAUUGACUUUACUGGCACACCAAUUUGUUCCUUACCUUUCACUUCUUCCUGACUGGAAUGAAGAUUUGAUUGCUGGAGCUCCAACAGUCACUUUGGGACCAUAGCAUUACCUUGAGGAUGGGAGCCACACUCAGUAUUAGAAUAGCGAAAUCAGUCUAUCCCUGAAAACAUCACGGAAUUAUCACAUAUGCCCAGGACUAUACAAGUCUUGUUAUAUGAAAAAGAUAAAACUUUUAAUUUUGUGCCACA